AAGUAUGUCCUAGUCUUUUAUACCAAAGAGAUAAGGACUGAAUUGAUUUUUUUUUUGUUGUUGGAAUCAAUAUAAGUGCAGCGGAGAGAAUGAACUAAAUUGACAGUAUUGCUAUUUUGUUUUAACAAAUUUGUGUGAUAACCAAUCAACUCAGAACUAAUGCUCCUUGAAUCCAAAAUGUAAAGUCGCCCAACCACCCUUCCAACAACUAGGAUUUUCUCAUUCUGUAGGCAUUGCAACAAGCAAUAGUUAAGAGAGAAAACAAAUUUAAUCAAAAAGGUUUCUGAAAUUUUAUUUACUGAUAGUAGAUUAUAUUGGAAAACUGGUAUAUGCAAAGUGGAAGUUAAAAUAAGAUUGGGAGAGAAAUGUACAUCUCCUACAUUAUGCACCAUAUUGACUAAACCAUCAGGUAAGAAAACAAGAGUAAUAGCUUUGACUGAAUUUGGUCUUUGAAUGAGUUUUAGAUCACUAUACAUAUGAUUUGAGGAACCUGUAUCCACAAUACAGCUAUCAGGUUCCAAUAGAUCAAGUAUAUUAAAAGCAAAAUGGUGUGAAGUUAUACCUGCAAAAUCUUGGAAAUGAGACAUGUUAGCAAGACCUCCCUCUGUGAUAUCUUUCCCUUUAAUAAAUUUACUCAUUUCUUGUUGAAUCAGUUCCUAAAUCUAGUUGUUUAUCUCUGCUGAAAUUGUUCAUUCCUUGUCAGUAUUGAUCUCAGUAUCCAUGUCUGCCAUAUAUACCAUCUGUUUAAAACCUUGUUUCCCUUUAGUUUUCAUGAGGUCUUUGUACGAAUCAGGAAUGCCAUGGAUCUUAAAACAUGUUUCCUUGGUGUGUUCAGUAAAGUUGUAAUGUGGACAAUGUAAAUUAGAUUUAUCAGUCUUCUUAGCUCCACCUCUAUCCUUGCGAUAAUUCUUUGCAUCAUGACAUGUUUUUUUGUUAUUAACUGUUAUCAUAGCAAUAUUAUCCAGGGUAUCUGUGUAUACAUUUUUAACUUCUUUUUGCUUUUCAACUCUCAAAAUCAUUGAAUAAUCUUUGUUCACAGAAAGUAAUGGUUUUAUUACCAAGAUCUGAUUUCUUAUGUUAUUAUAUCCAUCAUUCAGAGUAUUAAAAUUGCAUCAACUUGCUUGAAGAGUUAUAGUUUAUUACCUGCUUAGCUGCUCAACAGCUGCAUUGUAGAACUGGUUGCAAGCAUUGCAGCUCAUCCCAUAACUUCUUAAGCUUUGUGUAGUACUGAACCACUGUUUGGUUCCCUUGAGAAAUGGAAGAAAUCUCCCUUUGCAAGUGGUAUACUAACGGACCAUUGCAUUCUCCAAGUCUCUCUAAUUCCUGCCAAAGUUCCUUUGUAGAUGCAAUAUACAAGCAUGCAUCUACAAUGUCCUUGGCAAUGGAAUUUAGUAUCCACGACUCUACCAUACAGUUCAAUUUAUUUCAUUUUUCAAAAUUCUCUUAUCUUUCUUUUGACAUUGCACAUUUUCCAUCUAUGAAGCCCAGCUUCAUCUUGGCUCCUAUAGCUAUCUUCACGGAACGACUCCAAGCUAGAUAGUUGUUCCCAUUUAAUGGAGUGGAAACAAGAAUCAUGCCUGGAUGAUCAGAUGAUUGAAGAAGUAAUGGAUUUUCGUUGUUAUGCCUAGCUCCUUGAACACUUCCUGUCACAGUCUCUGCAACGCUAAUAAUUCCCUCCAUGCUUAAAAAUUAUUUGUUUUCUCUCAAUUUGGAUCGUUUGCGCUCUGAUACCAUGAACAAAGUAAGCUGUCGAACCAAGAAACUUUCCUAUUUAAAAUAUAUAAUUUUUUUACACCCCAUACAAGAAGGCUAUUGCUACUUAUAUAUAUCUAAGAAGAAGGUCGAAGAGAAAAAAAGUAAAAGGAGCACCAAAAAUGGAUAACGAAAAUAACAAAACAAUUGGCUGUUACAACAGAAAAUACAGUUGGCGUAGCACACUCCAUUAUGCAUGCUUUUACAACAGAAAAUGCAGCAGGUGAAUAUCUUAAUUCUCUACACUUAUUUAUUAUUUUUUUAUUUAUGGAAAUUGCUAGUGCAAAUUACUGACAGUUUUUCCUGAAUGUCUUGCUACCUUCUAGAAGAGAAGGAUUUCCGGCCGUAUCUAAUGUUAAAUGCGAAGGUGUCAGUGGAUUUGAUUAUCGAAGUCAGCAAUUUAACCGUUGCAUAGUUAGGACAAUGAAGUUUCCUGAAAAUUUUUUGUUGAUAAUGACAAUUUUCUUUUUUUCCGUGCUCUAUGUGUAUGUGUGUGUCCAUGAGCAUGUGCUAUGUUCAUGCUUAUCAAAGUUAUUGGGAGUGCUAAAUGUAAAAUGAAGUAACUACUGCAGAGAAUCCCCAAAAAAUGGUAGAGGAAAACAUGAAGAAUCUCUUUUCUUACUGAGGCCACUAAUAAAAAGCAUUACCUGCUAAAGUGAGCCAUAGAAGCCUAGAGGAUGGGAUAGCUAGAGUACAUUGAGUCUAAUUGGUGGUGCUGUGUAGACUGCUAUAUAGUGAUUGUUGGAGAUCUGAGGUGCCUGGUGGUUGUUGGGUUUGAUUUUUCUAUUCUUGGAUAAUUUAUGAACAAAAAAAUUGAUUUCAUGAUCUGUUUGUGUAUGGUAACUAUGCUACUAGUAUCUGGGAAUUUAGUAUUAAAUCUCUACUUGAGAUUAGAGGUUGAAUUUUGAUAUCACCUGUGUUUACAUAUAAAAAACUAGUGUCCCAUAAGGAUCACAGUAAAGUUUGAUUGCAUCUGUCACAAAACCUCUCUGAGUUAGUCAUUGUUUUCCUCCCUUAAACAUUCGCUGAUAGGUUGAUGAAAUUAAACAAUCAAUACAAAGCAUUGUUUGUUCAUGUAGUAAAAGUUCCUUAGAUUUGGAAGAAUGCACGACCUUGGUGUGACAAGAAGUAUAGCUUUUAAAGUUUAUUUCAAGGGCGCCCCUCUAGGAACAUUAGUAUGAUAGCAGAGGAAAAUGAGUGGAAGGUGAAGCAAUUUGACUAUAGUUUUGCUGCAUGGAUGUAACUCCGUAGAUGCUAAAUUACGUUGUAAGUGGCACAAGCUAUAACCUUUUUAUUGUUGGCUUGGUUUUGCUGCACCUCCUGGAAGGCAGAGCGCGUUUGAACUAGAAAAUGGAUGUUAUACUAACUUUUACUUUUUGUAAUUUCAGGAAUAUAAAGGUUGAUGCGGCAGAGGAUUUUUGCUUUAUCGACCUCCUGCUGCAGCGAAACAUUGAUUUUCAAGGUUGUUACUAGUGAUGCAGCAGGACCCAGUUUCAUUAACAUCAAAGUUCUCAUGGCCCGGCCCUUGAGCUUCUAGAUAAAUACGUGGGAAAAGUGAGUUAGCAGUUUGAACAUUAUUCAGCGGCGCGGGGCAUGCACUUUCAAUGGUCUUCUUUCAUGAGGUUUGUUUUCUUCUCGCCCGAUAACUUUACUAUCUCCUCUUUGGUGCUUGAUCUAUUAUGUUUAUUCUUUUCUUUUUCUUCCAAGAAGGAUUAUUGCGAAUUAUAGCACAAUAUUGGCAAUAUAUAAUUUUAUCAAUGUAGAAGUGUUGGGAAAAUUAUGAACUACUCUCAAUUUUUGGAUUGAACGAACGGGGGUUUCAAAGCUUUACAAGGGUUUUAGUCACUUUUUCCAAUUUAAUUCCGUUUAGAACUGUCAGAUGUUUUAGUAUUAGUCUAUAUUUUAAUUUUUGUAACAAAAACACUCCCAAACAACCUAAUAAAGUUCCGUUAUGAUUUAAAGCAAAAGUAAAUGAUCAUACCUUCGAUAUGACAUGAGUGAUUUCAAUAUAAUGGAUUUAUGUAGUAUUUCCGUGCUAAUAUGGGAUUCAGGUUUUAUUCAAUCCAGUUGUUUUGAUAGCAAAA